rnacentral:rRNA from 1 species
UACGUAGGGCGCAAGCGUUAUCCGGAAUUAUUGGGCGUAAAGAGCUCGUAGGCGGUUUGUCGCGUCUGCCGUGAAAGUCCGGGGCUCAACUCCGGAUCUGCGGUGGGUACGGGCAGACUAGAGUGCAGUAGGGGAGACUGGAAUUCCUGGUGUAGCGGUGAAAUGCGCAGAUAUCAGGAGGAACACCGGUGGCGAAGGCGGGUCUCUGGGCCGUUACUGACGCUGAGGAGCGAAAGCGUGGGGAGCGAACAGG